rnacentral:rRNA from 1 species
CCUACGGGAGGCAGCAGUGGGGAAUAUUGGACAAUGGGGGGAACCCUGAUCCAGCGACGCCGCGUGCGUGAAGAAGGAUUUCGGUAUGUAAAGCUCUAUCAGCAGGGAAGAAAAUGACGGUACCUGACUAAGAAGCCCCGGCUAACUACGUGCCAGCAGCCGCGGUAAUACGUAGGGGGCCAGCGUUAUCCGGAUUUACUGGGUGUAAAGGGGGCGUAGACGGUGCAGCAAGUCUGAUGUGAAAGGCGGGGGCCCAACCCGCGGACUGCUGUGGAAACUGUAUGGCUGGAGUGCAGGUGAGGUAGGCGGAAUUCCUAGUGUAGCGGUGAAAUGCGUAGAUAUUAGGAGGAACACCAGUGGCGAAGGCGGCUUACUGGACUGUAACUGACGUUGAGGCUCGAAAGCGUGGGGAGCAAACAGGAUUAGAUACCCCAGUAGUC